ensembl:snRNA U6 U6 spliceosomal RNA
GUGCUCACUUGGGCAGCACAUAUACUAAAAUUGAAAGGAUACAGAGAAGAUCAUGGCCCCGGUGCGAGGAUGACAUGCAAAUUCGUGAAGCAUUCCAUAUUUUU